AGUGCGAUAGGGGGACUCCGAGUGCGAGGGCAUACAGUCCUCGCUUUUCUGUACCGUAAGGUGGUACAGGAACAAGKGCUGGGCAAGACCGGUGCCAGCCGCCGCGGUAAUACCGGCAGCHCGAGUGAUGGCCGAUAUUAUUGGGCCUAAAGCGUCCGUAGCCGGCCGVACAAGUCCGUUGGGAAAUCCACGCGCUCAACGNGUGGGCGUCCAGCGGAAACUGUUCGGCUUGGGGCCGGAAGACCCGAGGGGUACGUCCGGGGUAGGAGUGAAAUCCCGUAAUCCUGGACGGACCACCGGUGGCGAAAGCGCCUCGGGARGACGGACCCGACGGUGAGGGACGAAAGCYAGGGUCUCGAACCGGAUUAGAUACCCGGGUAGUCCUAGCCGUAAACGAUGCYCGCUAGGUGUGGCGCAGGCUACGAGCCUGCGCUGUGCCGUAGGGAAGCCGUGAAGCGAGCCGCCUGGGAAGUAC
rnacentral:rRNA from 1 species